UAAAAAAUUUGGCGGUAUUUUAGUCUAUUCAGAGGAACCUGUUUUGUAAUCGAUAAUCCACGAUGGACCUUACUUGGGUUUGUAUUCAGUUUAUAUACCGUCGUUAUUAGAAUAUUUUAUAAGAAAGUUAAUUUUCAAGAAUUUUAAAAAGAAAGAAUAUCAGAUCAAGGUGUAGCUUAUGCUUAAGUAUAAAUGGGUUACAAUAAAAUUAUUUAAAUGAAUAUAAAUUUGAAAUGUUUAUUGAAGGUGGAUUUGAUAGUAAAAUUAUAUAGAUAAAUAAUUUGAUUUUGGCUCUAAAAUAUGCACACAUCGCCCGUCACUCUUAUUAUUAAGGUAAGAUAAGUCGUAACAUAGUAGAUGUACUGGAAAGUGUACCUAGAAUGCAAUUUAAAGCUUAUUAAGUAAAGCAUUUCAUUUACAUUGAAAAGAUUUUUGUGCAAAUCAAUAUAAAUUGAUAUUAUUUUUUAUUUAUUAAUUUAAUUUUUUUUUAUUAUAAAUUAUUAAAAAUAAUUAUUAAUUGAUUUGUUUAAGUAUUUUAUAAAGAAAAAAUAAUUUUAAUUAUAGUUAAAUAGUAUUGUGAAAGAAAAUUGAAAUAAAUUGAAAAAU
rnacentral:rRNA from 1 species